UUCGAGCUGUAAGACGGCGAAAAAACUCCACUUCACAACCAGAUCCAGUCGGCUCCCCUGCGAGGGCGUGUGUGUGAGGAUACGCACACAUUGCGUGGUACAGUAUACGAGCCAAUCCAUCAUAACAUCUGUCGGUGCAGCUGGAGGGCAAACAGGAUUAUCAACAGGUCACUGUUGCUGCAGUGAGCAGUUUUGCCUGAAUGAGAUGUUUGGUGAGUUCAGAUUCGGCCAGUCAAAGCUUGAAGACAACAACUUUAAAGGUCAAGUCCAAGUGGAGACAAGGACAUGUGAGGACAUGCAUUGGAUGAAGUGUCCCCCGUGAAGCUGAAGGACCGGAUAGAGUGUCUCCUGUGCCCUGGACCCCCCUACUCAUCGAUCUCCCUUACUGGCUGUCACGUGGCUUAUUCACAUCCCUUUCCCAUAGUUUUUGUCCUCCCAACUAUUUCCCCCACUUGUUUUUCCUCUGUCACACUUUCGGUCUUUGUCGCUGCACUCUGUGCUCCUUGUGCGGCGGUGAAGUUGCAGUGCCCCCUGAUGGCAGAAUGCUGUCACAGCAGCGCGUAACACCCCCUCUCUUUUUUUUGUUUCUUUAGUUGCUAAAGAAGCAGCACGCAGAUUCAGCAAACAUAAAUCUAUCUGGAUCAUUUGGGUAUUGAAUUUCUUGAAAAUCAGGUUCAGGUGGGGUUUUUUUUUCUUCGAAUUCUAUGAUAUAACGUUUACAACAUCAGACAUUAUUAAGAAAGGAGGUUCAUUUCACAGUAGAUGUCAGCAUAUUGAGUUGUUUCACAUUCCUCUGUUGAGGAAAUCUGAAAUAAGGAAAGAAUAACAACAUAUAAAAAAAGUGAAAUGUAGAGUAAUACAUGUUUGAGUUGUGCAAAACAGGAUAUUUCCUGAAAAUCAUAUUUUAAGAUGAAUCCAAAAGCAGUUUCAUCCCUGGCGUGCUUUCGAAACCACAAUAAAACAACCGCAGCAACAGAGAA